ACUCUGUGAAAGAGCUGGUUUGAAGGAAGGGUGAGGCUGGUGAAUGGGCAGAGAACCAGGAGAGACAAACAGGCAAGAGUGGCUGGGGGAAGUAGGGCACAUGCUGCCUUUAAUCCAUUGAGCCUGACCUAGGCACUCGUUGAUGUCCCAAGGAAAUGUUCAAAGAAGAAGCUGCUUACACAGUCAUUUGCUCCAGUUCAUUGCCCCAAGCCUGGCGCCACAUGCAGCAAUGCGAAAUCAUUCCAGAAUCCUCAACAAUACUACUUCCUCUACAGCCCGGAUGUAACCGCAACUGUCUUUAGCGUAAUAUACCCAGGCAUUAUGGGACUUUUCCCUGGGCCUCCAGAGAACGGAGGACUGGAACUCGGCCCCACCAGAAAUCAGACCAGACCAGAACCAGAAUUCGAGUUCUCUGCCAAGAGGAGGUGACCAGUCUCCAAUCCUCAGCUCAGGCUGAGGGCCCUUUGACCAGAUUCCUGCAUCCAGGACAGGGGGACUAGAAAAACAGGUCUGGCACAAAGAAGGUCCUUAAUAAUCAUUCAUUAAAGUUUUAUUUUGAAU
ensembl:lncRNA